rnacentral:rRNA from 1 species
GAUGAACGCUGGCGGCGUGCCUAAAACAUGCAAGUCGUGCGGUAACAGGCCCUUCGGGGUGCUGACGAGCGGCGGACGGCUGAGUAACGCGUGGGAACCUGCCCUAAAGUGAGGAAUAACUGCCCGAAAGGGUGGCUAAUGCCGCAUAUGGUCUUCGGAUUAAAGGAUUUAUCCGCUUUAGGAGGGGCCCGCGUAAGAUUAGAUAGUUGGUGAGGUAAUGGCUCACCAAGUCGAUGAUCUUUAACUGGUUUGAGAGGAUGAUCAGUCAGACUGGAACUGAGAAACGGUCCAGACUCCUACGGGAGGCAGCAGUAGGGAAUCUUCCACAAUGGGCGAAAGCCUGAUGGAGCAACGCCGCGUGAGUGAAGAAGGAUUUCGGUUCGUAAAACUCUGUUGUAAGGGAAGAACAAGUACAGUAGUAACUGGCUGUACCUUGACGGUACCUUAUUAGAAAGCCACGGCUAACUUCGUGCCAGCCGCCGCCGUAA